rnacentral:rRNA from 1 species
AGUGAACGCUGGCGGUAGGCCUAACACAUGCAAGUCGAACGGCAGCACAGUAAGAGCUUGCUCUUACGGGUGGCGAGUGGCGGACGGGUGAGGAAUACAUCGGAAUCUACUUUUUCGUGGGGGAUAACGUAGGGAAACUUACGCUAAUACCGCAUACGACCUACGGGUGAAAGCAGGGGAUCUUCGGACCUUGCGCGAUUGAAUGAGCCGAUGUCGGAUUAGCUAGUUGGCGGGGUAAAGGCCCACCAAGGCGACGAUCCGUAGCUGGUCUGAGAGGAUGAUCAGCGACACUGGAAGUGAGACACGGUCCAGACUCCUACGGGAGGCAGCAGUGGGGAAUAUUGGACAAUGGGCGCAAGCCUGAUCCAGCCAUACCGCGUGGGUGAAGAAGGCCUUCGGGUUGUAAAGCCCUUUUGUUGGGAAAGAAAAGCAGCAGGUUAAUACCCCGCUGUUCUGACGGUACCCAAAGAAUAAGCACCGGCUAACUUCGUG